rnacentral:rRNA from 1 species
UUGCAUAUCAAAAAGCGGAGGAAAAGAAACCAACAGGGAUUGCCCUAGUAACGGCGAGUGAAGCGGCAACAGCUCAAAUUUGAAAUCUGGCUCUUUCAGAGUCCGAGUUGUAAUUUGCAGAGGGCGCUUUGGCUUUGGCAGCGGUCCAAGUUCCUUGGAACAGGACGUCACAGAGGGUGAGAAUCCCGUACGUGGUCGCUAGCUAUUGCCGUGUAAAGCCCCUUCGACGAGUCGAGUUGUUUGGGAAUGCAGCUCUAAAUGGGAGGUAAAUUUCUUCUAAAGCUAAAUAUUGGCCAGAGACCGAUAGCGCACAAGUAGAGUGAUCGAAAGAUGAAAAGCACUUUGGAAAGAGAGUCAAACAGCACGUGAAAUUGUUGAAAGGGAAGCGCUUGCAGCCAGACUUGCUUGCAGUUGCUCAUCCGGGCUUUUGCCCGGUGCACUCUUCUGUAGGCAGGCCAGCAUCAGUUUGGGCGGUGGGAUAAAGGUCUCUGUCACGUACCUCUCUUCGGGGAGGCCUUAUAGGGGAGACGACAUACCACCAGCCUAGACUGAGGUCCGCGCAUCUGCUAGGAUGCUGGCGUAAUGGCU